rnacentral:rRNA from 1 species
UACAUCCUACGGGGGGCAGCAGUAGGGAAUCUUCCACAAUGGGCGAAAGCCUGAUGGAGCAACGCCGCGUGGGUGAAGAAGGUCUUCGGAUCGUAAAACCCUGUUGUUAGAGAAGAAAGUGCGUGAGAGUAACUGUUCACGUUUCGACGGUAUCUAACCAGAAAGCCACGGCUAGCUACGCGCCAGCAGCCGCGGUAAUUCGUAGGUGGCAAGCGUUAUCCGGAUUUAUUGGGCGUAAAGGGAACGCAGGCGGUCUUUUAAGUCUGAUGUGAAAGCCUUGGGCUUAACGGGAGUAGUG